UACAGAGGGUGCGAACGUUGUUCGGAAUCACUGGGCAUAAAGCGCACGUAGGCGGCACCGCAAGUGCGGGGUGAAAUCCCACGGCUUACCCGUGGAACUGCCUGGCAGACUGCGGUGCUAGAGGUUGGUAGGGGAGAGCGGAACUCUUGGUGGAGCGGUGAAAUGCGUAGAUAUCAAGAGGAACACCGGUGGCGAAGGCGGCUCUCUGGGCCAAUCCUGACGCUGAGGUGCGAAAGCUAGGGGAGCAAACGGG
rnacentral:rRNA from 1 species